AGAGUUUGAUCCUGGCUUAGGAUGAACGCUAGCUACAGGCUUAACACAUGCAAGUCGAGGGGCAGCAUUGGAGUAGCAAUGCUUCAGAUGGCGACCGGCGCACGGGUGAGUAACACGUAUCCAACCUGCCGCUUACUCGGGGAUAGCCUUUCGAAAGAAAGAUUAAUACCCGAUGGUAUAAAGAGUUCGCAUGUUCUCUUUAUUAAAGAAUUUCGGUAAGCGAUGGGGAUGCGUUCCAUUAGAUAGUUGGCGGGGUAACGGCCCACCAAGUCUACGAUGGAUAGGGGUUCUGAGAGGAAGGUCCCCCACAUUGGAACUGAGACACGGUCCAAACUCCUACGGGAGGCAGCAGUGAGGAAUAUUGGUCAAUGGACGAGAGUCUGAACCAGCCAAAGUAGCGUGAAGGAUGACUGCCCUAUGGGUUGUAAACUUCUUUUAUAAGGGAAUAAAGUGAGGGACGUGUCCCUUUUUGUAUGUACCUUAUGAAUAAGGAUCGGCUAACUCCGUGCCAGCCGCCGC
rnacentral:rRNA from 1 species